rnacentral:misc_RNA from 1 species
CUGCUUCGGAUUAUUAUAUAAUCUA